rnacentral:rRNA from 1 species
GAUGAACGCUGGCGGCGUGCUUAACACAUGCAAGUCGAGCGAGAAUCAACGGAUUGAGGAUUCGUCCAAAUGAAGUUGAGGAAAGUGGCGGACGGGUGAGUAACGCGUGAGGAACCUGCCUCGGAGUGGGGAAUAACAGUUGGAAACAGCUGCUAAUACCGCAUAAUGCAACGGAAUCGCAUGACUCUGUUGCCAAAGAUUUAUCGCUCUGAGAUGGCCUCGCGUCUGAUUAGCUAGUUGGCGGGGUAAAAGCUUACCAAGCCGACGAUCUGUAGCUGGUCUGAGAGGACGACCAGCCACACUGGGACUGAGACACGGCCCAG